rnacentral:rRNA from 1 species
CUACCGGGGUAUCUAAUCCUGUUCGCUCCCCACGCUUUCGCUCCUCAGCGUCAGUAUCGGCCCAGAGACCCGCCUUCGCCACCGGUGUUCCUCCUGAUAUCUGCGCAUUUCACCGCUACACCAGGAAUUCCAGUCUCCCCUGCCGAACUCCAGUCAUGCCCGUAUCGACCGCAAGCUCAGGGUUAAGCCCCAAGUUUUCACGACCGACGCGACAGACCGCCUACGAGCUCUUUACGCCCAAUAAUUCCGGACAACGCUCGCACCCUACGUAUUACCGCGGCUGCUGGCAC